UACGAAGGGGGGCUAGCGUUGCUCGGAAUCACUGGCGUAAGGGUAGGCGUAGCGGGUCUUUUAAGUCAGGGGUGAAAUCCUGGAGCUCAACUCCAGAACUGCCUUUGAUACUGAAGAUCUUGAGUUCGGGAGAGGUGAGUGGAACUGCGAGUGUAGAGGUGAAAUUCGUAGAUAUUCGCAAGAACACCAGUGGCGAAGGCGGCUCACUGGCCCGAUACUGACGCUGAGGCACGAAAGCGUGGGGAGCAAACAGG
rnacentral:rRNA from 1 species